UGUUCUGGAAAGGAUGUAUGCCUAGCUUACGAAGACACAGUCCCACAUACACAUCUUCAAGAUGAAGCAGCCUGGUUACCACAAGCCAAGGAAUUGUGUUGAAGGGUAGUAGCUUUAAGAAGGUUGAGAACUGCUGGUUUAGAGCCUCCGGAAUGCUGCGACCACAGAAAUGCACCACCACACCCAGCUCAUUAUCUCUUGUUUUAAAAUGCAUAUACCAAGAGGCUGGAGAGAAGCCUCAGCAGUGUUAAGAGCACUGGCUGCUCUUUCAGAGGACCCAGUUUGAUUCUCAGGAUCCACAUGGCAGCCCACAACCGACGGACGGUGACUCCAUGGAAUCCUAUUAACUCUCUGGCCUCUGCAACCAAGCAUGCAACGGAUGCAUACAAGAUACAUGCAGG